CCAUGGUACUAGUAUGCUAUAUUUUCAAUUACAGAAAUUAGUCAAUUUCAUCAUCAUCAUGUGUUGCAAUACCACUACCAGGGACAUCAAAGAUGACCUGGACUUCAGUGCAUAUGCAGAGGAGAGUAGCACUAAAGAAAGCCAAUAAAAUCCUUUUGGAGUUGAAUUGAGACACAACCAUUCAUUUCUGGUUUAGUUAUAAAACUGCUACAGACUAUAAACUAUUCAUGAUGAUGGAAUACACCAAUGCCUAGUACAAUCAUGGCCCAUUAGAAACCAGAACAAACCAUGGUGCAAAGGAAAUAAGAUGCACAUAGUCUGAAAGAUCUGGCUGGUGUUCUGAAUAAGAUGACAUAAUAUCUCAACUGCAGAAGUACAGCUGGCAUGGAGGGGUUUCACCAGCACAUCUUGAUGUAUUGUACCCAAAAAGAUUUGCUUACACACCACCUGUUUAUAGGAUGCACAAUCUUCUAGCAGCCAUAGAUUAUAAUAUACAUGCAAAUAGACCAUACAUCACCAACAAGGGGGAUC